rnacentral:tRNA from 1 species
AGAAUUUUAAGUUAAGCAAACUGAGAGCCUUCAAAGCUUUAAUUAAGAGUAUCGUCUUAAAUUCUA